ensembl:misc_RNA Metazoa_SRP Metazoan signal recognition particle RNA
GCCGGGUGCGGUGGCUCACGCCUGUAAUCCCAGCACUUUGGGAGGCUGAGGCGGGUGGAUCACCUGAGGUCAGGAGUUCAAGACCCGCCUGGCCAACAUGGUGAAACCCUGUCUCUA